GACGAACGCUGGCGGCGUGCCUAAUACACGCAAGUAGAACGCUGAAGGAGGAGCUUGCUUCUCUGGAUGAGUUGCGAACGGGUGAGUAACGCGUAGGUAACCUGCCUGGUAGCGGGGGAUAACUAUUGGAAACGAUAGCUAAUACCGCAUAAUAGUAGAUGUCGCAUGACAUUUGCUUAAAAGGUGCAAUUGCAUCACUACCAGAUGGACCUGCGUUGUAUUAGCUAGUUGGUGAGGUAACGGCUCACCAAGGCAACGAUACAUAGCCGACCUGAGAGGGUGAUCGGCCACACUGGGACUGAGACACGGCCCAGACUCCUACGGGAGGCAGCAGUAGGGAAUCUUCGGCAAUGGACGGAAGUCUGACCGAGCAACGCCGCGUGAGUGAAGAAGGUUUUCGGAUCGUAAAGCUCUGUUGUAAGAGAAGAACGAGUGUGAGAGUGGAAAGUUCACACUGUGACGGUAUCUUACCAGAAAGGGACGGCUAACUACGUG
rnacentral:rRNA from 1 species